GGAGGUUUGGCUCAGUGGUUAAGAGAACCUGUUCUUACAGGUGACUUGGGUUCAAUUCCCAGCACCCACA
rnacentral:tRNA from 1 species